GACCGCGUAGCUCAGUUGGCAGAGCAUUGGGCUAGUAUUCCAAAGGUCGUAGGUUCGAUUCCUGUCGUGGACA